UCCAUGAUUAUUAUUUCGUGUAGUGACUAGCAAACAACAAGAUGAAUCUCGAGUGACCAAAUAGAUAAGGGGCUGCUAGCUGCGCUUGAACUUUUGGACUAUAGUCCAUCCAAGUCCUAGCCCACCCUUAGUAGCAGUCUAAAGGCGCAUGUAGAUUGGUCUCGAAAAAUGAUCGAGAUGUGAUUGAGAACUCACGUGCGCUUGAACUCAGUAGAGGCCUAUUCGUGCGAGCUGAAAUGCUUGCGCAGUAAUGUUUCGAUAGUAUUGAUCAUUGCAGUGAAGCUGCCUCCUGCAAACCGAUUGAGGAAUUCUAGUUGGGAGGAGACGUCAGAAUACGCUGUCGCUUACGAUCAUUUAUUAAUUUUCAAUUAGAGUUAUUCUCGAGAUUUGAUUUUGUUGCUGUUUACACUCUAGCGUCUCUAUUUGCUGCCGGACUGUCGUGAUGUGAUGGCCCUCCCACGCAAUACUGGUUGCUACUGCUGUAUCCUGGCGAGAAUUCACUGGCGAUAUGGGCGAAUUGUGACUCAUUUUCAGACCACUCAACUAGGACUCUUAGGAGGUUAACGUCAUCAGAAACUAGGUAUAUAAUUAUAAAGCGGCAAUGGGCCUGAGGAAAAGCAAAAAAAGCGGGAAAAAUAAAAUUGAGUUUGGUCCCUGUUAAAACUUACAGUUCAUUUUGACGCAAACAUCUGUUCAGUUUUAGAAAUGUGGUUAGUUUUGAAAAAAUAAAUUCAAACCAAAAUCCAA